CAUUAAUGUGCUGAUUUAGAAAUGUAAUGAGUUAAAGAUUUUUAAAAAGACCUGUUACUUUUGCUUGUUCUACUUUAUAUUAAGACUCAGGGGAGAACUUUCUAGAUGUCAGAUGUAUUUGUGAUUUAUUAAUUUUUUAGGGCUUUAUUCUGGAUAGGUCUCUUUCAUCUGGAAGUAUCUCUGGGUCCAUUUGCAAGGUUUAUUACUCAGCUGACGGGUUUUGUGGCAGAAAGGUGUUUCUCUUGUACAGUUGUGCUUUGCCUAGCCUGUUGCUUUCUGUAGUGAUACAGAACAGAGGUGUCUGUACAAGGGUUGAACGUGAAGAAAUUCCCACUUGGCAAAUGAUCACAGAUGAUGAAUGAGAUAAAGCAUCCGGUGGUAGCAUCCCAGCUUCUGGGGCUAGAUGUAAUGAGAAAUCACCCAGUCCUUUUCUACCCAAAAGAAAGCAUUUUAGUUUAAAUUUGGAAAAGGCGGACUUUAUUUCCACCAGCAAAUACAGUAUGGGGAUGGAGAUAUAUAUUGAUUAGGGUAGUGGCUAGAUUAUAGGGAAUCGUGUUGAUGCCUGUAAAGAACUUGUUUUUUGUUUUGUUUGUUUUUUUUUUAAUGGACAAUAGCCUAAUUCAAAUGAGGUUUUCCUUAUAAACUAAAAGAGUACAUCUGUGCAAAUCAGUUUUUAUAUUUCUUUUUUAUUAAAAUAUUUUGAUUUGAAGAAUUAUUAUUGCUUCAUUUUUGUUAAGUUUCAUUUAAGAUGGGAGUUCAGGCUAGCCAGGAUUUUAAUUUGAAUUUCCAAUGUUUUACAUUAAGUAAUAUUUUAUCACUUGUAAACGUUCGAGGACUAGCAUUUGUAAUCAGCGUUCUACGUGACAUUAGCCAUGCAUACUCUACCCGUCUUUAAGUCAUGUGCAGCCUUAGAGAAGAAGGUAAGUGCUGGCCGCAGGGUGUAGAGUAUCUCUGAAGCCGAUGAACAUGUUUUUGACGUAAUGUUUUAGCUUUUACAUCCGUGAUGGGAGGUGGGUGAAAUCGGUUGUGGUCAUCUUCUAGUCGACGUCGGGGUGCUCACUGUCUAGUUACUUGGUUUUCGAAAGAAGGAGAGGUGAUGGGUUCUGCGUCUUGCGUUGUAAGCUUUUCUUCUUUAGCGGACGCCUGAGCUUGGUGAGCAUGUACGCGUGUGUACGCAUGCAGGGGAGCAGCGCUGACAAACGUAAUGUUUGCUGGAUAUUUGGAAAUUAGCUUGCAGUUUUCGGAAAUUUCAGUGGACUCACGGGAAGCAGAUGGACAACGAAUUCCACUUUUUUCCCUCCCCCAGCUUUUUAUUGUUUUUAGAGAAGCCCAGCUUCGUAGGGGUGCCCCUGGCUGGUGAUGUGAUGUGUGCCGUGCUGCAGGUUGGAAAGGCUGCUAUAAAUCGAUACAGAUUUUUUUUUACGUAGUUAGAAGAACAGUUGGUGGCGUGCUGCUUUCUUUGUAUCCACUGGAACUUUGGAGUCGUUCACUAGGCUGUGCUGCUUUUCAUGGCUCUGCACGGAAAGGGAGUGUCGACGCUCAGCUGGCUCUGCAGCACCGUUAGGGAGGGAAUGAAAUGCGGAAGUCCCAGAAAACCCGAUGGAAGAGUCGGGCUCUGGGACGGUGCUUUUUAAGCUGAGUGUUGAAAAGGGGGCUGACAGCAUUUCGGAAAGUGAACCGAUCUGUUCAUCAAUAGUCCCAAGUUUUUCUGAAUUGUUCUAUUUGAAUACUUUUAAUGACUUGCUUUCUUCCUCCAUCUUUUCCGUGUCUAAUUUGUAAGAGGAUUUACAGUUAGUUGUUUAUGACACAAAUUUUCUUAUGUGCUAACAAAAAAAAAAAAAAAAGAGAGAGAGAGAGAGAAAGAAAUGCCCCGUUUGGUAUUUUCUUUCAGUUUUUGUAACUAACUCACAGGUAAAUAAGAUGCUGAUUGAUGCAAUAACAUUUCACUAAGCUUUUUUUUAGAGAACAAACUUUCCUGGUUUUGUGGUGAGUAUAUGGAAGUGUCAGUUACUGAAUGAAGGACAAACCAUAGAUCAGCUGGUGUACCUAGCCACCACCCUCCCGCACCUGCUGCCAACCUGUCAAAACGAAAACUGGCUCUAUUUAAAUGGAUUUUAGCAUGCCACUUUUCUUUUAACAGGCAUCGUUUGUGUAGAAAGUUUGCGUACAGGCUUGACUAACGCGUGUUUAGCUAUGUUAUACACAAUUAAGGUCAUCACAGUUUGGGGGCAAGAUUUGUUGGUAUUCUCCAUGGCUCUAAUAUCAUGUAUUUUUAGUAUUACCUCUUUUAAGUAGUUUAGUUCUCCCACUUGGCUAAGUUGAUACUGUAGGUACCAUGAAACUAUAUUGUGAUUAUAUCUGAAUUUGCUGUUGGGUAAUUUGUAGAUUUAUGCUGCAUUUUUGAUUCAUGUGUCAGUGAUACAAAUCUUGUCUUUUAAAGGCAACCCAUCGUAUGUGUAACCUGUAGCUUAUAAUUUGGAACUAAGUUGUGGGUCUUCCCUUUACAUUUUAAAAAAUGUGGUAUACGAUUCUACCGUAUGAUUAAGUCUUCGUUUAUUAUAUAUGUGACUAUUAAGAAGGAACUUCUCCAGUCGUCCUUUCUUAAUCUUUCUGAUUAUAUUGGGAUAGAUUUUGUAAUAUUUUCUGUAUGUGUGAUCUUUUCUUUAGCAUGUUUGUUAUGCAGUUCAGUUUCCAUUAUGAGAAACCAAGGUAUUUCCAGUAUCCUUAUGCUAGAUCUGUAAUUUGAUAUCUCAGUAAGUUGUCCUCCCACCGUUGUUUGAACUGCUAUCUGUCUGUAUUUGCAUGUCAUUAAAUUCUUGGUGAUCUUCAGGAGCUAACGCAGUUAUGUUUUCCAGCUGACUUGGAUCCUAAGAUCAUCCACAGUAAAGCAAAUACCUCAUAAAUUAAUACUUGUCCUCUUGUUGUCUUGGGGCCAUGACCAGUGAUAUUUACUUAUCACUUAAUUCCCUCAGACCUAAGCUCAGAACAAAUCUUUCUUAAUAAUGUCCACUCACUGCUCUCCCUCUUAAUCAACAGCCUUUCCCCAUUGAGUUGCAUUAGCUUCCAUACCUUGAUAUUACCAUUAUUAACAAUUCUUAGCAUCUAGUAGAUAUUAAAAGUAGCUUGCAGAACUCUCUCUCCUUGGAAUAUUAUCACUUAAAAUUUGAGCACAUUGGGUAGUUUUUCCACCUCUAAUAUUGAUAUGAAAGGAAGCCAGCAUUUAAGCAGAAUACACAGUGGAAGGCCAGAAAAAUGCUACAACUUACUAACGCUUUAUUUUAUAAACAUUGAGUAGAUCUCAAUGUCUAUUUUAAGAUAACCCCUCCAAAUAUUAUUUAAUACACUUUUUUUUGUUGUCUUUUGUUACAUUUUCAUUGCUUGUGCCAUUUACUGUUUAUCUUUUUAUUACACUUAUUUUUAUAGCUGUCUUGGCUCCCCUGUUAGAAUAGGAUCUUUUCAGAGUAUUUAUGAUGUUUAUUCAGUAGUAUUUUCCUAAUAAGAUUUUAGGUAAAAACUUCCAACCACGUUCUUCCUCCAGUUUCAGAAUUUUGUUUUCAUUGCUUAAGGGAUUUUUUCCAAGGUAUCAAAUUGAUAUCAGUAGAGCCUAUGUUCUCUGAUGCUCCUGAGACUAAAGGAUUAUAAUGAGGUAUCUGUAUUAGCAGGGUGGGUUUUUCCUUAAAACUGUUUUAUUAUAAAAUGACAUUUGACUUGAACCUGGUAGCCUUAAACUUCUAGAGAAGAAGUGGGCACUUUCGGAUAAUUGAGCUAAAAAUAGUGUGAAAACAUUCUUUUCUUAGUAAUACAGGUUUUUUAAUUGUAAAAAUAAAUAAAUUGACGGGAACGAUAAUAAUAAUUUCAGUAAGUGCGGCACAGAUAUGUUGUUAAUAAAAUGUGUAUAAACAUGGAUACAGGGAAGUAAACAAACAAAAGGUUUGAUUUUCUCCUUCCAAGUAAACAGUGUUUUCCCCUCCAGGGAUCUGAAGAGCUGUCCUUCUCAGGUUGGCAGUCAGUGAUCUGGUUUCUUCUUCGCAGAGGCCUCCCACCAGUUUGUGUUUCAGAUAGUAGGCCCGUUAUUUGGUUUGCCUCAGAUGCAGAAUAAGAUCAGCCCCAUUCUAACAGACUUUGAGAAGGCCCAUCAGGUCAUUAAAAAUCUCCUUCUGACCCUUUCUUCUUUAAAUAGGAAAUAUCUAAAGAGGUCGACCUAAAAAGGAAUUUUUGUAUCUUUCAGAGUUUACUAAAAAACCCUAAAUGUCGCGUGGAACAGUGCUUAUGGCACCUUUGUUGAAGUUUGCAAUUAGAAGGGAAUAUCGAGGUUUAGAUAAAACACAUGUCUUUUGGCCCUUUGUGAAAGGAAGGAGGUAGUAAAUGCCGGUUUUUCUUUGAAAUAGGGGGUGUUAAACAGGAUAUUGGAAGCCUGAAAGGGUAUGGUUGGAAAACUGUUAUUACCAAGAAUAUUCUUUGGGGGUUAGGUAUUAGCAACAGAGCCUACAAUGAUCUGCCUUCCCUGAAAAAGAAUACCCUGUGUGUGUUUGUUUUUUAAAUCUUUAAUGGCACUUACGUUGGAUAGUGGUAAAAGGUCGUGUACUUUGACAGCAUAUAUGAAUAUUGAUGAUAUGUUAAUAGGGACAUUUUAAGUGUUGUAGAUUUGAUAACACAGUUCCUGUGAACAAUCGGAAACUGUUAGAAAAAGCUAGGUGAAGCGUUUUUUAACUGGGUUUUGCUUUUCACUAAGUUUUCAACCCAAUUGAAAACACAAAUUGUUAAAGUGUUCUUAACCUGUUAGGUGGCAGGUUUUUGCAAAAGUUGAAAUCUACCAGGUUAGAAUUAGAUGUUUGGCUGCUGAAUGAACUCUUCCCAAACUUUUUUUACUUGUAUCUUGAGCUCGAUUUAAAUGGGUUUCAGUAAAAGGUUAAGAGGAUAGCUGUCUUCCGUUGAUUGAUCCUUCUCAAAUCAUUCUGAACAUUUAAAAAAUUGUAAGUUGUUGUCACUUUAUUUCAGUAUUGAAGCACUGAUAAUUCCUGUGUGUAGCUGGCGACAUCAGCUGUUUGUGAGUGUUUCUAAAUGUUAGUAGAGUUCGUGGAGUUGGGGAGUUAGGGAAGAGGUGACCGGUGAGCAAUCAUGGAAGGGAGCAGGAAGUUCUGUGAUGGAUGGAGCCUUGUCAGGUAGAGUAUCUGAAGAUACCCCUUCAUCAGUGGCAUAGUUUCCAAACUGAAGGUACAGACACAUUUUGAUAUCUUGGCAAAGUUUUAAGUGGAACACGCAAUAGUUGGAAUUCUUACGUAGGAUUUACCAUCUUCUCAAAAAUAAUUUUAGUAACUGGUCUAUUCCAUAUGGAGACCUUAAUUCUUUUUGGAUUAAGGUUGAGAGAAACACGUGAAGACCUUACUUGAAAGUUCGAAUUUAGGAACUUAGGAAAAGUGGUAGUGACUUUGACAAAUGUUAUUUUCCAACAUGGCUCAUUUCUUUAAGAUGUGAUGUUCUAUAAUUUUAUCCCUUAGACUACAUUUGUGAUAUUGGCAGUCAUUUUGAAAAUAGAGGAUAAUACUUGAACAAGGCAAGAAGUAGUAGGAAGCGGGAAAGUAGGUUUCUCCUUCUUUCAAAACAAUCUUCCACUUAAAUGUUUGUUCUGUAAAUGAAUACCCAAUAAAACCUCACCAGUUUGGAUUUCUUCCAGGUAAAAGCAGGUUAAAUAUAUGGAAAGUUUGAAUAAAUUAAUAUUUAAAAAGAACUAGAGUUUGCUUUUAAAUAACUGAAGUGUUUGUGUGCAAAGUGUUUCUAAAUUGAGAUCUUCAGCCCUGUUGAAAUAAGUGGAUAAUUCUAAAUUUAUUAUAGCUGAGAUAUUUGCUUAGUGGCAAUAUGUUAUUUUAAAAGAUUUCGUUUAAUUUUUAAAAACACUGUAAGCAUACCCCCUGCAAACUUGUUCACAUAACAUUCUAAAGGUUUCCGUUUAAAGUAUGGGGGAAAUGAAUUUCAACCCAUUUUAUGGGACUGUCAGUUCUAAAAAAAUUAAUGAAAGAGGACUAUAAAAAAUAGACACUGGACAAAAUUGGAGAUGAAGAGAGACUGAAACAUAACUGAUUUGCAGGAUAUUGGUUUUGAUAAUAGAAAGAUAACUAUGAUCUAUAGUUGAUAAAUGAGGCUCAUUAAGUAAGGGAUGAAAAAUGCAGAUGUUCCUGGCUGAUAGAAAAGUCAGCAUACAGGAUUUGCCCUAACAAAUUAGCGAUGGGAAGGUUUUGAGCCAGCUUGCUGCUCUUCAGAUGACCUGGGGGAGGCUGUGGAGCCUUCUCUGUGGCCCCACAGGCUGGGCGCAUACAACUCCCAGGUGUGUCCACAAAGAGCCACCGAACCACACCUGGACACAUGAGCCUCUCCGACAGAUGAGCUGUCCACAAGAGGGAGAGCAGUCGUGUUUGUCUUCAGUACAAAGCACGGAAAAACGGCAUGUGGGAAAUUCUUGCAUGGGGGCUUGGGUAGGACAGGUGGUCAAGCCAAGCCGCACAACAACUUCGGGUUUUAAUUUUAGUUUUUAUGCCAGGACUGACGUGCAAAGGUACCUUUUCUCAUUCGACCCUGCCGAAGGCAGGCGUGUUGAACUAGAAAGCCUCCUUCCUCCUUUCUUCAGGGUGCUGGUACCCAGAGGGGUCAGUGGGCUUCCCCCAGUUCUGCAGCCAUGGCCAGGGUAAGGGGUUGAAUGCGUUUUACUUUGUGCUAGCCAAGUUAGGUGGGAAAUAGAUUUUAAUUUACAAAUUUCCUCUUUGUAGGUAACUGAAGGCAUACAUGUAGGUUAUAUAAUAAGAGCUCUAUAAGCAGCAGGAGCUCAUAGUAGCGUUUGUGGACUGGUUAAUUGCUUUUAUUUUUCUUUUCGAAUGGAAGUAACUAUUUUUGAUAUUAACCAUCAGCUUGGGAGAGGAAAUAAAUACAUGUAGAGAGCAAAAUUUUUUAUUCUUCCCUCACAAUGUAGGGUUUUAGAAGUGUCUCUCUCUUCCUCAUCUUUUUCUUUUGCCUUCUUUCUCUAAAUCGUUGUAAAAUAACUGAAUGGUCUUGUUUUCUUUUGUUUGGGUCAAGAAAUUUUAGCUGAAAAUUGUUACUGUGUGAAAGAAGAUUAUUGACUCAACAAGCCUUCAAUUUUCCGUGAAUAACACUCCCACCCCCUAGCUUCAGGAACACGCCGUGCAUGCAUUCUAUUUUAAAAUACAGACUGUAAUUUAAAACAGGCAGUUUGAUGCCCCACUGAACUUUGUUUAAGCCUGGAAUAAAAGAGGGGGAAAAAAAGCUUUAAGCUACAAAAAAGUGACUAAGCUUUCUCAACCACUUUUCUUCAUAAUGCAUUCUAUUUAAGAAAAAAAAAAAAAAAAAGCUGUCAGGUACUAUUGUUGUCUCCUUCUACAGGACCUAAAUUUUAUCCAAUGUUAGAUUGUGGUGUGUGUGCCUUUUCACUUUAUUUCAUUAUCAAGCUAUCGUUUGAAUUUUUUAAGUGUUCAGAGCAGUGGUCCUGUGCAGUGGAAUCUGUGUGCAUACAUUUGUGCAUUUUGUCCCUGUUCAGUGCAUGUGAGAACAUUAAUUCAAAAAUUAAAUAUAUAAUUUUUAGCAUUCAGUUAUUGAUAGCUAAUUUCCUAGAGUUCUCAGAUUUAUAUAGUACCUGAUUAUUAGACCAGAAAGAUAGUAAAUAAUAUUAUGGCUAAAUAUUUAGAUCAGAUUAUUAUAAAAAUGAUUAGCUGGGAGUCGUUUAAAUCAUUUGCCCUUUUUUUUCCCCUCCCAGAAACAAAAUGAGCAGCUUAUGAUGACUCAUAUGGAAGGAAUGAUGACUUUAUUGUGAUAAAGUAAUAUAUUUUGGCCUGGAUACCUGUUCUAAUGAUGAUGGUGAAUGGCAAACAGGACUAAAUCUUUGUCAAAGUUCUGGCUCGCGUAUGCCCUUCAGUAAUGACGUCUCCAGCAAUGGUUUCCCUCCCAUUUUUGGGUGUGAUUUGCUUUUUUGUUUUUUUUUAAUGUUUAUUCAUUUUUUGAGAGAGAGAGAGACAGACAGAGCUUGAGUGGGGGAGGGGCAGAGAGAGAGAGAGGGAGACCUAGAAUCUGAAGCAGGCUCCAGGCUCUUGAGCUGUCAGCGCAGAUCCCAACGUGGGGCUCGAACUCAGGAACCAUGAGAUCGUGACCCAGCCAAAGCUGGACACUUAACCAACUGAGCCACCCCGGCGCCCUGGGUGCCAUUUGCUUUUGAACAUACUUAGGGAUUUGGAGUUGCCUGAUUGAGUCCAUAGCUUUAUUAUGCAGGUUAUGGGAGAGCCACAGGUCUUCUUGUGGAGUCUGUCUCUAACUUCUCCGAGAUUGCAGAGGGCUCCCUCUCCCUGCUGUGGGAUCAGUUUGGUACUUUGACAUAUUUGAGUGUAGGGAAGUCUUGGGAGAAGGAGAAAGGUUUAUCUUGAAAAGUUGAGAAGUACUUGUACCGGGUAUCUUUAUGACCACCUGGUAUAAAGUGGGAGGUAGGAAAAAGAAACAAAAAGGAAGCCGCAGGACAAUGAAAUCUUAUCUUUGUAAUGCAAAGUCUAAUGCCUUUCCCCACUGGAUCAAUGGGAACCCAGUGGAGACCAUUGUCUGAACCAAAACAAUCAGCAGUUGGUUUUAAUUUCAUGCUGGUGUAAGGACGACCCUGAUGGCCUGUAUCUGAGGACUCCAGUCACUUCUGACACUCCAGGUUUACAUCUGUGUACUAAAAAGUAACUGAGUAAGCACCCUGUGCUUUUUAAACUGAGAUUUAUCACUAAUGGAAAUAUUAGCAACCCAGGGACAUGAAAACCACCAUUUGUUCUUGAUGAACCCAAGUCAGUUUAAUGAAAAAUGUCCCUUGCAUUUUGUGCCCCCUCCCCCCUUCCCUCCCCCCUUCCCUCCCUCCUUCCCUCCCGUCUCCCUCCUUCUCUCUGGAGCUCCCUGGUUUGAUCUGGGUAGAGUGGUAUGUCACAAGUCUUCCUUUUACUUGAUAUUUUAUUACUAUCUUUGUCAAAGCAGAGUGGUGUCCCCUGAGACAAUGGUACAUAAGCUGUGCCUGGUCUACAGGUAAAUGUCUUCUCUUAAAGUCCAGAAUGAGCGAGCACAGCAGUAUCCUGCUCCCAUCUUAGACUUGUAUCCUGAUACUGAUAAUUUUUUUUUUCAAAAAUUUCUCAUGUAAGGUAGGGAUCUUUCAUCAGUUUUUAUUUUCACCAUGGGUGUGGGUGGUUGAGAAGUACAGUGAUUUAGUUAACACCUUCUAAUGACCCCAAAAGUAUGUGAUUGGUCUUUUGUAAUUAUCUGUAUCUGGAGAAAAUUUGGCUUCAAAAUAAUAAUAAUUAUGUGUAACAAUUUAUUGAGCACCAUUUUUAAAAGUCUUGGUUUACAUAAAUAAAACUUUCAGUUAACUAACACUGGAAACUACUAGUAAAAGAAUAGCUAUGCCCAGAGUCAGGGGUCUUAGUGAAUAUCGUAGGCGUGAGUUACAUGAACUUUAAAGACAUGCCCUUCUUGACAUGUAUUUUGUCUUCUCAAAGCCAGAUCCCACCCCAUCUUCUAUUUUUGAAAGUCUGGUACUUUCAGGUUACCUAGACAAGUGAAUUGUUCCCUGCCUUUUAUUUAUGCAAAGCCUUUAUUUUCAAAAUGCCUUCAUUACCACUGGAGGCAGGGAGACGACUUAAGAGGUUAGUGUAUUAUCUCGCUAAUGAGGUUGAGUCAGAUUAUUAAAAAGUGAUGGCAGUGAGAAUGCAGAGGAGAAAAUUGUUGAAAUAAAGGGAGGGAUGAAUGAUAGAUGCUUUUAAGGUUUUUAAGCUGAGUGGCCAGGAGAUGACAAACACAGGGGUGAUGUGGUGGUGGGAGUUGGUUUAGGGAGAAAAGAAUAACCCAGAGAUUUUAUGAGAUUUUAUGAAUAAAUCUGCUGGAAUUCUAAAACUCCUAAAAGAAAACACUUCAUCUUUGUUACCAAAAGCCUUAUUUUUUGUAUAGUUCUUUUAUAUAAGAGUUAAAAUGUCAUAAAUAGAUACUGAUGUUGAAAGAAUGGUAGUGGUGGCUAUAACUGUACAUUUCACUAAAAUUCUCGGAGAUGAUUUGAAGAAUAUUGGAACAGAGUUUGUGUAAACAACUCAGCAGAUUGUACCAGAGCGUUGCUAGCUCUAACAUGGAGUAAGACAGAGUGCCAUCUCAAAAAUAGAUGAAACUAUAUAUAAUUCAGUUAGGACUCAUGGCUGGUCCCAUUGCCUUUGUUUUUAGGAGAAUCCAGUUUAUAUCCUAAUAUGCUCCUUGGGUGGGGCCAGGUGACUUUAUUUGGCUUUGUUUGGCUUACUUUGGAAUGAUUUAGACUUUGUUCUGGUUGCAUUUCAUUCUGGAGGGGGCAUCCCUUAGUUUCAUGUAUCUCGUUAUGAUUUCUCCUCUUCUGAAACUUAUUUUGAGUAUGUGCAUUUAUGAGUCUACUAUACAAAUUUCACGUUUUUA